AUUGAACGCUGGCGGCAGGCCUAACACAUGCAAGUCGAGCGGAUGAAGGGAGCUUGCUCCUGGAUUCAGCGGCGGACGGGUGAGUAAUGCCUAGGAAUCUGCCUGGUAGUUGGGGAUAACGUCCGGAAACGGGCGCUAAUACCGCAUACGUCCUGAGGGAGAAAGGGGGGGAUCUUCGGACCUCACGCUAUUAGCUGAGCCUAGGUCGGAUUAGCUAGUUGGUGGGGUAAAGGCCUACCAAGGCGACGAUCCGUAACUGGUCUGAGAGGAUGAUCAGUCACACUGGAACUGAGACACGGUCCAGACUCCUACGGGAGGCAGCAGUGGGGAAUAUUGGACAAUGGGCGAAAGCCUGAUCCAGCAAUGCCGCGUGUGUGAAGAAGGUCUUCGGAUUGUAAAGCACUUUAAGUUGGGGGGAAGGGCAGUAAGUUAAUACCUUGCUGUUUUGACGUUACCAACAGAAUAAGCACCGGCUAACUUCGUG
rnacentral:rRNA from 1 species